rnacentral:lncRNA from 1 species
CCUGCAAUUUAUUAUUUUGCAUGCUUUCAGACAAGUGCUGUAGGACUUAAAUUAUGCACAUCAGGAACAGUCCCUCUCACACUUGCAUAGUGGCUUGAGCAAAGUUCUUAGAUUUUGGCUGCACGGACACACAGGAGGAAGGUGAGCUGAUUCAUCAGCCCCGCGUUAGAGGCACAUAAUGGAAUAUAAUGGAAGGGGAAAGACUAAUAGCAGAGGAGCAGAAAAAGUGGAAAUCCACAGCUUUCUAGGAUCUCCUUAAAGAUUGUCCCGGAAGAAAGCCAAAACAUUAACUUUGCAUUCAUCGUAUAAAUAAGGGUAUUUUUAAAAAUUCUAUCUACAGAGACACACGCACACUGGGUUGGAGCCUUGUCUAACUCUUCGGUGCGCUGCUGCAACUCCAUUAAAACAGCAACAACAUGCUAGUAUGGAAACUAAUGUAAGAUCUUCUAUGGGUGAUUAUGGACAAACAGAAUCAGAUCAGCCAGAUAUUUGCAUCCUUCCAGGGACAACUGGCAAUCGGAAGAUUGAGCUUGCUAUUUAUAGCAAAUUUGAGCCGUCUGAAGAGCUGAGAUGCACCACAAUUCAAAAACAAAUUUCAAAGCAAACAAACAAAGCUGGAGCAGCUACGCAGGCCUGGGAAAAAUUCAUUGCUUCCAGUUAUAUCUUGGCAAACGUGGAAGCACCAGAAGUUGCAGUCUCAGUGGAGGGAGUCUGGGGUUACCCCAGUGCUGGGGCGUUACUACCAAUCCCACCUCGAGCAAAAGACUUACAUGGGAUUUAGGUGCACGGAGCUUGUAUAUGCCAUCUGCACAUGGGUGAAUUGUAUCCACAGUGACUGCCAAAACAAAUAAAUGAGGGGAAAAAUGAGAAAAACA